rnacentral:rRNA from 1 species
CCUACGGGUGGCAGCAGUGGGGAAUAUUGCGCACUGGGCGAAAGCCUGACGCAGCGACGCCGCGUGAGGGAUGAAGGUCUUCGGAUCGUACACCUCUGUCAGCAGGGACGAACGGUCACUGUGCUAAUCAGCAGUGAAUUGACGGUACCUGCAAAGGAAGCACCGGCUAACUCCGUGCCAGCAGCCGCGGUACUACGGAGGGUGCGAGCGUUAAUCGGAGUUACUGGGCGUAAAGCGCUCGUCGGCGGUAUGUCAAGUAAAGGGUGAAAGCCCCGCGCUCAACGUGGGAACUGCCUUUGAAACUGGCAAACUGGAGUGUGUGAGAGGAUAGUGGAAUUCCAGGUGUAGGAGUGAAAUCCGUAGAUAUCUGGAGGAACAUCAGUGGCGAAGGCGACUAUCUGGCACAUAACUGACGCUGAGGAGCGAAAGCGUGGGUAGCAAACAGGAUUAGAUACCCGUGUAGUC